rnacentral:SRP_RNA from 1 species
CAGCUGCGUCCCCAAUCGGGCGACGCGCGGAAGGGAGCGGCAGCGCAAACGGCGAAAACACGCUUGCCGGUGGCGGAGGCAUCGGGACG